rnacentral:sRNA from 1 species
GGGGGUAAUUUCUUCUAAAGCUAAAUACUGGCCAGAGACCGAUAGCGCACAAGUAGGAGUGAUCGAAAGAUGAAAAGCACUUUGGAAAGAGAGUCAAAAAGUACGUGAAAUUGUUGAAAGGGAAGCGCUUGCAACCAGACCUGCCCGUGUUGCUCAUCCAGGCUUCUGCCUGGUGCACUCUUCUGCGGUCAGGCCAGCAUCAGUUCUGGCGGUCGGAUAAAGGCGGCGGGAAUGUAGCUCCUCUCGGGGAGUGUUAUAGCCCGCCGUGUCAUGCGGCCAGCCGGGACUGAGGUCCGCGCUUCGGCUAGGAUGCUGGCGUAAUGGUUGUAAGCGGCCCGUCUUGAAACACGGGAC